rnacentral:rRNA from 1 species
GACGAACGCUGGCGGCGUGCCUAAUACAUGCAAGUAGAACGCUGAAGAGAGGAGCUUGCUCUUCUUGGGUGAGUUGCGAACGGGUGAGUAACGCGUAGGUAACCUGCCUUGUAGCGGGGGAUAACUAUUGGAAACGAUAGCUAAUACCGCAUAACAAUGGAUGACACAUGUCAUUUAUUUGAAAGGGGCAAUUGCUCCACUACAAGAUGGACCUGCGUUGUAUUAGCUAGUAGGUGAGGUAAUGGCUCACCUAGGCGACGAUACAUAGCCGACCUGAGAGGGUGAUCGGCCACACUGGGACUGAGACACGGCCCAGACUCCUACGGGAGGCAGCAGUAGGGAAUCUUCGGCAAUGGGGGCAACCCUGACCGAGCAACGCCGCGUGAGUGAAGAAGAUUUUCGGAUCGUAAAGCUCUGUUGUAAGUCAAGAACGGGUGUGAGAGUGGAAAGUUCACACUGUGACGGUAGCUUACCAGAAAGGGACGGCUAACUACGUG